AUCACUAAGCGGAGGAAAAGAAACUAACAAGGAUUCCCCCAGUAACGGCGAGUGAAGUGGGAAUAGCCCAGCACCGAAUCCCUCAGCCUUGCGCUGCCGGGAACUGUGGUGUUUGGGACGACCGCUGUCGUGCAGUUCGGGUGCCCAAGUCCUCCCGAUCGGGGCCUCUCCCAAAGUGGGUGUCAGGCCUUUACCGGCACUCGUCUACACGGCUAUGGUCGUCCUCGGAGUCGGGUUGUUUGGGAAUGCAGCCCAAAGCUGGUGGUAAACUCCAUCUAAGGCUAAAUACUGACACGAGUCCGAUAG
rnacentral:rRNA from 1 species